rnacentral:rRNA from 1 species
UGAUAAUAAUAAAACACCUGUAACAACGGACACAAAUAAUACUGAUGUUUUAACAACAACAAAUAAUACUGAUGAUGCUGGUGGUGUUACUGUUGUUACGGAACCUAUU